CACUUUACUAAACCUAAAAAAGCCACUCUCUCCCUCGCUCUUCGUCCUUCUUUUUCUUCUGGGAAACGCCAAAAAAAUUCUCCAAAAAACCAAAAUUGGAGAGAGGAGAAUUGAGACAACUGGGCGAGUAAGUUUUAUCGCUCACCGAGGAGAAUCGCUCGGUUGAUUAAUCGCUUCACGAAUUUUGAUUCCUUAGCUUAUGCGAGGAUCUACGUAAACAAGAAGAUGAAGGCGAUGGUGUUAUUGGGACUCCUAGGACCAAGCAGGCGACUAAAUCACUGAUAUCACAGGAGCCAUGGCAAAUUGGCGAUGACUUUUCUAGGGGUCCCAAAUUGCUCAACCAAGAGAACACCAGUUGGUCGUCUGCUUCUUACCUAUCAUUAGUACAUUCGCGUGGUCCCUUUGGUUGAUCCUUCAGACAAAUCCAAGAGAUUACAUCACCACUCAUGCAGAAAGACGGUACGUAUAGCAGAAACAGAGAUUGGACGUGCAGAAGCUAGCUACAGAAGAAAAGAACUCUCACCGUAACAUGUGUAAGGAGGGUUUUGGCUUGAGAAAAUGAACAAGAGUGAAGAUUCGUAGGGAGGUAUCUGAGAACCAAUUCAAUGUUGCGUCAUUUGAUGGUAUGGGCUGCACUGAAAGUUAUGUAAUCGGUGGUAUGCUUCAUUUGAAUAAUCAUUUUUUUGUAUACUCUCUUUCAUCAGAUUUUAUUUCUUUGUAUUCUUUUUUCUACCUGACAGUAGCAAGAAUCAAGGUUUGAUGACAACUUAAAUGUGUUUCUAAUCUGAAUCAGUACAUCAUUUGUUUUCUA